GGAAUCUUGCGCAAUGGGCGCAAGCCUGACGACGCAACGCCGCGUGGAGGAUGAAGAUCUUCGGGUCGUAAACUCCUGUCGAGCGGGAAGAAACCCGCGGGGGUGAAUAAUCCCUGCGGCUGACGGUACCGCUAAAGGAAGCCCCGGAUAACUCCGUUACCGCAGCCGCGGUAAUACGGGGGGGGCAAGCGUUGUUCGGAAUUACUGGGCGUAAAGGGCUCGUAGGCGGCCAACUAAGUCGGACGUGAAAUCCCCAGGCUCAACUUGGGAACUGCGUCCGAUACUGGAUGGCUUGAAUUCGGGAGAGGGAUGCAGAAUUCCAGGUGUAGCGGUGAAAUGCGUAGAUAUCUGGAGGAAUACCGGUGGCGAAGGCGGCAUCCUGGACCGACAUUGACGCUGAUGAGCGAAAGCCAGGGGAGCAA
rnacentral:rRNA from 1 species